UUGAACGCUGGCGGCAGGCCUAACACAUGCAAGUCGAACGGUAACAGGAAGCAGCUUGCUGCUUUGCUGACGAGUGGCGGACGGGUGAGUAAUGUCUGGGAAACUGCCUGAUGGAGGGGGAUAACUACUGGAAACGGUAGCUAAUACCGCAUAACGUCGCAAGACCAAAGAGGGGGACCUUAGGGCCUCUUGCCAUCGGAUGUGCCCAGAUGGGAUUAGCUAGUAGGUGGGGUAACGGCUCACCUAGGCGACGAUCCCUAGCUGGUCUGAGAGGAUGACCAGCCACACUGGAACUGAGACACGGUCCAGACUCCUACGGGAGGCAGCAGUGGGGAAUAUUGCACAAUGGGCGCAAGCCUGAUGCAGCCAUGCCGCGUGGAUGAAGAAGGCCUUCGGGUUGUAAAGUACUUUCAGCGGGGAGGAAGGGAGUAAAGUUAAUACCUUUGCUCAUUGACGUUACCCGCAGAAGAAGCACCGGCUAACUCCGU
rnacentral:rRNA from 1 species